rnacentral:siRNA from 1 species
GUAAGUAGUUGUGCAUAUGCCACA